rnacentral:misc_RNA from 1 species
GAUGAAGAACGUAGCGAAAUGCGAUAAGUAAUGUGAAUUGCAGAAUUCAGUGAAUCAUCGAAUCUUUGAACGCACAUUGCGCCCGCCAGUAUUCUGGCGGGCAUGCCUGUUCGAGCGUCAUUACAACCCUCAGGCCCCCGGGCCUGGCGUUGGGGAUCGGCGGAAGCCCCCUGUGGGCACACGCCGUCCCUCAAAUACAGUGGCGGUCCCGCCGCAGCUUCCAUUGCGUAGUAGCUAACACCUCGCAACUGGAGAGCGGCGCGGCCAUGCCGUAAAACACCCAACUUCUGAAUGUUGACCUCGAAUCAGGUAGGAAUACCCGCUGAAUUUAAGCAUAUCAAUAAGCGGAGGA